AAUAUGAAAUUUUAUUAAAAGAAAAAGGGGUGAAAAGAACAAAGUUUUGUCCAUCUUUGUUCAUCAUAGCUGAAAGUUAGAGAAGAGAAAGGAGAGGAGAAAGCUCUUGAGUAUUCGGUCAUUAGGAGGAGGAAAAUUGAAGGAAAUCCCCAACCAUAGUGGGCUUGGAGCUGUUAGGGAAUUCGGAGUGGCCACCCGUUCUGAAAGUUUGAUUUUCUUCUGGUGAACUGGACAUCCUUUUAAUUACGUUUGAGGUUUUUGGGCUUUUAAAUGUAAUAAGGCAGCUUAUUUAUUUUUGAUGGUUUUUAAUAUGUAUUACUAAGAUAGGUAUUACUUAUUUUAACUGUUGAAAUUGGAUAGCUUCAGGGCGCGUUUUCACAAACAACAAUUGAUUUCAAAAUAAUACGACAACAAACAAAGCUUCCGCAAUGAAAGUAUUUUCCAAAA